rnacentral:rRNA from 1 species
UACGUAGGGGGCAAGCGUUGUCCGGAUUUAUUGGGCGUAAAGAGCGUGUAGGCGGCCAUACAGGUCAGCUGUGAAAACUCGAGGUUCAACCUCGAGACGUCGGUUGAAACCGUUUGGCUAGAGUCCGGAAGAGGAGAGUGGAAUUCCCGGUGUAGCGGUGAAGUGCGCAGAUAUCGGGAAGAACACCCGUGGCGAAGGCGGCUCUCUGGGACGGUACUGACGCUGAGACGCGAAAGCGUGGGGAGCGAACAGG